rnacentral:lncRNA from 1 species
CCAGCUCUUUUACUAUUUUUGUAAACGUGAAAACAGUUAUGAACUUUAGAUUCCUCCUCAAUAAAUUGGGGAUAGGGCCGGGGAUUUAGCUCAGUGGUUUCUCUGCCUGGUGCACAAGUGCAAGGACCGGAGUUCGAUCCCCUGUACCAAAAAUAAAUAAAUAAAUUUAAAAAAAUAAAUUGGGGAUAAUAAUCCUUCCCUCAGACUUGUGAAAUGUAAAGGAGCUGUUACCUAGGUAGCAUGUAAGCCUUGAGCCUGUAUAUGAAUAGUCCUCAGGGAGCCUGUUGCUCCUCUGACCCCAAAUGAGAGCCAAGUUCAGGACUUAUUUAUAAUGGUUUCCAGCCCCGCCCUCCCCCCAACUGUGCUCAGCUCUGCAAUGGGAAACGUGGGAAUGGGAGUUCUGGGAAGGCUCUGGAUUCUGUGAUUCUCAGUGGGUGGGAAAAGGAUUGCACACUGUUAACACGAUGUGGAUUGGAAAGGCAGAGUUGGGAUUUGAGACCCUCAGAGGGGGAAGAGAGCCAACUGGGGAAGACAAUCUGGAUGAUUCCUGAAGAAGAAACAUUCAGGAGCCUGGAACUGGCCCGGGGCUGUGUUCUGGAGCUGUCGGGAGAGGCAUGGAGGAUGGCCCCGCUGGCACUAGAGCCCAGGCGUCCAGACUCCUAGUGCAGGUCUCUCUCUGCCCCACCAGUAUCGGAGACAGGUAAGUUAAUUAGAUAUCUUGUAGGCAGUUAGACAGGGCCAGCCCACAAGGAGCCAACAUGGAGGUGAGUGAGGACACAUUCACUGAAGGCCAGCAUUGUAAAAGGAGAGAAAUUAGCACACCCAUUAGGAUGAAUAGCAGUGAUUGAUAUUCUAAGUAGGUAUCAAUCACCUGGCUGGGGGGCCAAGGUUUUAACCCAGCCUCUCCAGGAAAUAUCCCUGACCAUCCUUAUUGAAAAUCCUUGUAUGCUUGCUUUGUGACUUGCUCCUCCAUUUGACCGAUAUUACCUGGGUGACUGUACUUGUUUUUGCUUUUUUUUUUUUUUCUUUUGGUACCGGAGAUCAAACUCAGGUCCUUGCGCUUGCACAGCAGGCGGAGAAACCACUGAGCUAAAUCCUUGGCCCUUGGGUGACUGUACUUGUAAUCUUACUGGUUGGUCAUGGUUUUGUCCCACCUCAUGACCACCUUAUAAAUUUCCAUUGGGUCUUAUAGUUUUGCCUCACUUUGUACCCGGCUCACCACACGGCUUUACUGUAUGAAACAUCCGUGAAACGUGAGGUGGGUGGGCAACCCUCUUUCCGGUCCCCCUUCUGUUUCUCUUAGGCAGAAGCUUUCUUUCUCCCAAUAUAUUUUUCCUACUCUUAACCUCCAUUGUUCCUAGAAUUCAUUCUUCGAUUUUAGAGAACACGAACUCGAGUUUCGGAUAUCUAGCAGGUUUGGGAGUUAUAGUUCUUCCCCCUGUAUCACCCGGACACCCUUAACCCCAAGCUCAUCUCCCCCCCCCCCUUUUUUUUGUACCGGGGCUCGAACUCGGGACCUUGAGCUUGCGAGGCAGGCGACGGUACCACUGAGCUAAAUCCCCAGCCCUCAUCAUCCCUCUUAAUGACGGAGGAAGUUUGGCACAGAUUGGAGGUUGAAUUAUUUGGUUCCUGGUGGCAUCUAGAAACACCAGUCAGUGGUGGAUCUUUUAAUUGUACUUAUCUAGUCUGGAAGGCGCCACAGACACCACCCCUCCGUCCCCCCGCUUUGUGGCAGCUGGGUUAAGCCAAUGCCACUUGAAAUAGGGAAAGGUCCCCAGGACCUACCCGGGCUCAGUCUACACGUUCAAUUUAGCAAAGUGAAAGUUCUUUUCCAGAUUAAAGGGAUGGUCGACAGCCUCCUGGGAGUUGGAAGCUAUGGGUCACCGGCUAAAGGCCUGCGCCUUUAAGGAGCUAGGGGGCGGAGGGGCGGGGCAAGAAGAGGACUCCUGGGAGACGCCGCCACAGGCUAGGUCUUUUCUUGGGGGUAAGGGGGGGUAGACCCCCUGUGGGCUCCGCCCCCUUUCCGGCGGCCGCGGCCCCCUUCCGCCCUGAGGGUAGGCGGGAGCUCCCUCCUCGGCUUCUUGUCCUCGGAGGCGCAAGUUUGUUGACUUGGAGGGAGUAGCAGGGGCGGGGACGGUGCUAAUAAUACCCCUUCGUUCCGCUGCCGCGCUUUACAGUUUACACAGCUGUCACCUUCGUUACUCCUUAAUUAAUAAUAAAAUUAGCCGCCGCACUCCCUGGAUGCCAGGCCCAGUGCCGAGUGCUUUACAAGCAGAGUCCCAUUGAGUCUGCCCCCAUAACGUUAUCCCCAUUGCAUAGACCGGGAAGCCGAGGCUGGGGAGUGCUGGGACUCGCCUGAGGUCACUCGGCGGGUGAGCGGAGGCGGGCGCGGGGAGAGCCGCGGGGGCGGAGCGGCGGGCGGGGCGGAAGGCGCGGGGGUGCGGC